UCCUAAAAUAACUAAAUAAUUGAAUUGCAAAUAGAUAACUGGAAAAUACUACUUCUACUUGAGUUUAGCUUAUAGUAUAUACAAGGAUAGAAGUGGCAUGCUAUAACAAAAACUUCUGGAAAACUGAAAGUUCACACAAACAGACAAACAAACACAUAAUGUAAAACGAGCAGAUCAGCACACCAUGGCAGAGAGUGGGCUCAGAGGCAAGAACUUUGAUGAGAAGCCUGUAAAAGUUAUGGCAAUGACGAUAAAAAUGAGAGGAUAGGUUGUUCAAUACCUCGUAUGGUGUACGUGUGACAGAAGAUGUGUGUCUACAACCAUCAAAAGAAGGUUACCACUGCCUAACGGAUAUCAGAGUAAUGCCAAGCAAGUCACGACAACGACACCUAGAACAGAUAAGAAGCAUAUCACUAUUUGUGAAAUAAAGACCACUAAGAUAUAGCAGCAUCAUGAUGUUGCUUGUCUCCAUCGGCUCUGGACCAGAUACUAUCAGCAUAAAAAUAGUCCGAAAAUGAUGACAUAAGAAGGUUACCCGGCAAUAGAAAAGCAAAUUAAUUGUAGUCGAUUGUAUCCUCAUUGUUAACCAAAUUUACCAGGAAUUUCCAAGCCAUCAUUAAAGUUUGAACGAGAAAACACAAAGGCACAAAACGCAAGAAAUCUUGUCUGAUAACUAAAUCGGUAACCAUGUAAGAAUACCAAAAGCAACUCACAAUUUAUACAUGUUCCUAUAAAUUAAAACAUCGGGUCAUAAUGCAUUUGCUUUGUGCAUUUCACACAAUCAAAAAAAUUGUCUAAAAAGUGAAAUAGACAUAUUUUGUGUUUCUAUUAGAAACUAAAACACAUGUCACAGGCCUCUUAAUUAUUAUAAAUUGAUGAGAAAGCACAUUGUCCAGUACAGUAGUGCAUCUUUGAAAAUUCAUGGUACUCAAUGUCACGCUGACAGUGUAGGGCUUGGAAUACUACAACAACUUAAUAGAUGAACUGAUACGGCAUGGUAAAGAUCAAUUUAUCUACCUGAACAUAGCCUUUGAUCGAUCUUGAUUAACCAUC
rnacentral:lncRNA from 1 species